CCUACGGGUGGCAGCAGUGAGGAAUAUUGGUCAAUGGGCGCGAGCCUGAACCAGCCAAGUAGCGUGAAGGAUGACUGCCCUACGGGUUGUAAACUUCUUUUAUAAAGGAAUAAAGUGAGGCACGUGUGCCUUUUUGUAUGUACUUUAUGAAUAAGGAUCGGCUAACUCCGUGCCAGCAGCCGCGGUAAUAUGGAGGAUACGAGCGUUAUUCGGAUUUACUUGGUUUAAAGGGAGCGUAGAUGGGUUGUUAAGUCAGUUGUGAAAGUUUGCGGCUCAACCGUAAAAUUGCAAUUGCUACUGGCAGCCUUGAGUGCAGUUGAGGUAAGCGGAAUUCGUGGUGUAGCGGUGAAAUGCUUAGAUAUCACGAAGAACUCCGAUUGCGAAGGCGGCCUACUAAACUGCCACUGACAUUGAUGCGCGAAAGUGUGGGUAUCAAACAGGAUUAGAUACCCGGGUAGUC
rnacentral:rRNA from 1 species